UACGUAGGUGGCAAGCGUUAUCCGGAAUUAUUGGGCGUAAAGCGCGCGCAGGUGGUUUCUUAAGUCUGAUGUGAAAGCCCACGGCUCAACCGUGGAGGGUCAUUGGAAACUGGGAGACUUGAGUGCAGAAGAGGAAAGUGGAAUUCCAUGUGUAGCGGUGAAAUGCGCAGAGAUAUGGAGGAACACCAGUGGCGAAGGCGACUUUCUGGUCUGUAACUGACACUGAGGCGCGAAAGCGUGGGGAGCAAACAGG
rnacentral:rRNA from 1 species